AGUGAACGCUGGCGGUAGGCCUAACACAUGCAAGUCGAACGGCAGCACAGUAAGAGCUUGCUCUUACGGGUGGCGAGUGGCGGACGGGUGAGGAAUACAUCGGAAUCUACUUUUUCGUGGGGGAUAACGUAGGGAAACUUACGCUAAUACCGCAUACGACCUGCGGGUGAAAGCAGUGGAUCUUCGGACCUUGCGCGAUUGAAAGAGCCGAUGUCGGAUUAGCUAGUUGGCGGGGUAAAGGCCCACCAAGGCGACGAUCCGUAGCUGGUCUGAGAGGAUGAUAGGACACACUGGAACUGAGACACGGUCCAGACUCCUACGGGAGGCAGCAGUGGGGAAUAUUGGACAAUGGGCGAAAGCCUGAUCCAGCCAUACCGCGUGGGUGAAGAAGGCCUUCGGGUUGUAAAGCCCUUUUGUUGGGAAAGAAAAGCAGCAGGUUAAUACCCCGCUGUUCUGACGGUACCCAAAGAAUAAGCACCGGCUAACUUCGUG
rnacentral:rRNA from 1 species